rnacentral:rRNA from 1 species
GAUAAACGCUGGCGGCGUGCCUAAAACAUGCAAGUCGAACGGCACCUUCGGGUGCAGUGGCGGACGGCUGAGUAACACGUGGGUGACCUGCCCUCGAGCGGGGGAUAACUGCCCGAAAGGGUGGCUAAUACCGCAAAUGUCAGUGCUUCGGUGUGCUGACUGAACCGAUUCAGGGUUCGAGGAGGGGCCCGCGGCCGAUUAGCUUGCUGGUGGGGUAAUGGCCUACCAGGGCUGCGAUCGGUAGCUGGUCUGAGAGGAUGAUCAGCCAGACUGGGACUGCGAGACGGCCCAGACUCCUACGGGAGGCAGCAGUUAGGAAUUUUGGGCAAUGGGGGCAACCCUGACCCAGCAACGCCGCGUGGGUGAUGAAGGCCUUCGGUC